rnacentral:rRNA from 1 species
GACGAACGCUGGCGGCGUGCUUAACACAUGCAAGUCGAACGAAGAGCGAUGGAAGCUUGCUUCUAUCAAUCUUAGUGGCGAACGGGUGAGUAACGCGUAAUCAACCUGCCCUUCAGAGGGGGACAACAGUUGGAAACGACUGCUAAUACCGCAUACGAUCUAAUCUCGGCAUCGAGGAUAGAUGAAAGGUGGCCUCUAUUUAUAAGCUAUCACUGAAGGAGGGGAUUGCGUCUGAUUAGCUAGUUGGAGGGGUAACGGCCCACCAAGGCGAUGAUCAGUAGCCGGUCUGAGAGGAUGAACGGCCACAUUGGGACUGAGACACGGCCCAGACUCCUACGGGAGGCAGCAGUGGGGAAUCUUCCGCAAUGGACGAAAGUCUGACGGAGCAACGCCGCGUGAGUGAUGACGGCCUUCGGGUUGUAAAGCUCUGUUAAUCGGGACGAAAGGCCUUCUUGCGAAUAGUUAGAAGGAUUGACGGUACCGGAAUAGAAAGCCACGGCUAACUACGUGCCAGCAGCCGCGGUAAUA